rnacentral:rRNA from 1 species
UUAUUUUAUUUGAUGUAUUAGGAUUAUAACUAUGUUAAAUUAUAGAUAACAAUAAUACAAUAAGAAUAAGAUCUAUCAGUUAGUUGUUAAGGUAAUGGCUUAACAAGACUAUGACGGAUAACGGUAUUACUUUGUAAUAUUCCGGAGAAGGAGCCUGAGAGAUUGCUACUAAGUCUAAGGAUUGCAGCAGGGGCGAAACUUGACCUAUGAUAUUAUAUUGAGGCAGUUAUGAGUAGUAUUUUUAAUUAUUGUAAUAUUGUAAGUAUAUAUUACAAGAUAAAUCGGAGGGCAAAUCGAGUGCC